rnacentral:rRNA from 1 species
CAAGGCGGCGCGAUUCGCCCUUUUCCGGUUGAUCCUGCCGGAGGCUACUGCUAUUGGGAUUCGACUAAGCCAUGCGAGUCGAGAGGGUUCGGCCCUCGGCAGACGGCUCAGUAACACGUGGAUAAUCUGCCCUUAGGUGGAGGAUAAUCUCGGGAAACUGAGAAUAAUACUCCAUAGGUCUAGGAUGCUGGAAUGCACUUAGACUCAAAGUUCCGGCGCCUAAGGAUGAGUCUGCGGACUAUCAGGUUGUAGUCAGGGUAAUGACCUGACUAGCCUACGACGGAUAUGGGUUGUGAGAGCAAUAACCCAGAGAUGAUAUCUGAGACACGAUAUCAGGCCCUACGGGGCGCAGCAGGCGCGAAAACUUCACAAUGCGCGAAAGCGCGAUGAGGGAAUCCCAAGUGCUUGCACGUAAGUGUAAGCUGUUUCUAUGUUUAAAAUGCAUAGAGAGUAAGGGCUGGGUAAGACGGGUGCCAGCCGCCGCGGUAAUACCUGCAGCUCAAGUGGUAGCCGCUAUUAUUGGGCCUAAAACGUUCGUAGCCGGUUUAAUAAAUGCCUGGGUAAAUCGUAUGGCUUAACCAUACGAAUUCCGGGUAGACUGUUAGACUUGAGACCGGGAGAAGUCGGAGGUACUCCUGGGGUAGAGGUGA